AGGUGCUGUUGUGAUCGACUAAAAGUAAAUGAGCUUGUGGCACGGAUCAAAAUUGGCAGCUCUGAAGAUGGAUUUUCUCCAAAUUUACAGCAGCUUUUUAUGAUUAAGAAUCAGUUAAAAAUAAGCUUAUCCUAAUGUUAGCCUGACAAAAACUUCCACUCCAUUCUUCAACAUCAACUCUAUGGUCCUGCUCCAGAAAAAAAGGGGGGAGGACAGAGAAAGCAAAAACAGGUCAACUAGAAGUCUGAACCAAUGAGAAUAAGAUUUGGCUCAUCUGUGUUCUUCACAAUUGAACAGUUUGCUGACACCCAACAUCAGGGCUCAUACAUUAACAAUGGACAACUGUGUGAGGUAAUUGCACCCAAGUGCCAUCCAAGGAA